GUAAGAUAAACUAACACCGUCUGCAAGAUAUUAAUUCAAAGAAAGUCAAUAUGAACAUUUCACUAUUUACUGCCGGGUUGAUCCUCCUUCUCACUGUGCAUAGUUCAACACAACAGCCACAAAGAGUGAGUCGAAAUGAAAAUUUGAAGAGAGCUAUUGAAAGAGGAGUACUGAACGAACUGCACCAUCUAAAAAACAUGGGGGUAAAACUUUCCAAAGAGGAUUUCGAGGCAACCUUCAAGCAAAUUGUGGCAAUAGAGGCUAUCAAAAAUGCGGAAUUAUUCAAAGAGGUCAAAGAAAAUGAUAUCACGAAAAUUAUCAACGAUUCUAUUAAAUCCCGAAAAGUUUUAAAGGCAACCCGAGCUCUUAUAGCAGAUGAAGGAUUAGCUCCUAGAGUAGUUGGAGCUACUUUAAUGGGAGGUGCACAGCUAGCAGCCGACUUUGUGAAAAUGAUGCUGACAAGGUACUAAAUAAACAAUACAGUUUUGAAAA